rnacentral:rRNA from 1 species
GACGAACGCUGGCGGCGUGCUUAAUACAUGCAAGUCGAGCGAAAUUUUUCUUUUGCUUGCACCGGAAAGACUAAGCGGCGAACGGGUGAGUAGUACGCAAAGAACCUGCCUUAUAUACUUGGAGUACUCUUGGAAAAGUUCGCUAAAACCGUCUAACAGCCUUGACUGGAGUGUUGAUGUUUGAACGUUGGUUUUGCUAAUACUGUGAUAUCGCUUUGCGGUUCAUUAGCUAGUUGGUGGGGUAAUGGCCUACCAAGGCGACGAUGCAUAGCCGAGCUGAUGGGGGGAUCGGCCACUCUGAGACUGAGACACGGCCCUGACUCCUAGGGGAGGCAGCAGUAGGGAAGCGUCCGCGAUGGGCGAAAGCCUGACGGAGGAACGCCGCGUGAGUGCAGAAGGACUGCGGUCCGUAAAACUCUGUUGUUAGUGAAGAACGCUUGUGUAGGAACCGUACCCAGUAGUGACGGUACCUAAACAGAAAGCAACGGCUAACUACGUG